rnacentral:lncRNA from 1 species
AUUCUACAGACAGUAAGACACGUAGCAACUAUAAAAAUGAUCAAAGAUGAACGUUAUGUCUCAUGCUUUACUUUCUCUUCCUCUAGAAAAAUAUUUAGGCAAAAGGGAAAAAAGAUGAAAAAAUUGUAGUACGUACGUAGCAUGCUUUAUUUUUUGUACCAUGAAAAAUAUUAAAAUCGUAAAUUUUAGAAUUUCUUCUGGUAAUACUUGUAAUUUUGAGAAAAUUAUAAGAAGGAAAAAAAAAAAAAAUCAACCGAUACUUUGACAGAAUUAGCUGUCCUUAUAAUUACAAAAAAAGGAAAAAGAGGAAUUAAAAGUGAAUAUCCAAUUAAGUAUUGCUGGUGUGCUUCCAAGUCUUGAAUCGUUUCCCUAACGCGUUUCCCCACCUGUGGUGUGGCGACAGCGAAGCUGACGGCGGAUGCGGCGCUGGACCCGGCAGGCCUGGUGGCGGUCGCCGUCGCCCACGCCUUCGGGCUCUUUGUGGGGGUCUCGAUGGCGGCCAACAUCUCCGGCGGUCACCUCAACCCCGCCGUCACCUUCGGCCUCGCGGUCGGCGGCCACAUCACCAUCCUCACCGGCAUCUUCUACUGGGUCGCCCAGCUCCUCGGCUCCACCGUGGCCUGUCUCCUCCUCAAGUUCGUCACCGGUGGCAAGGUAAAACAGAACGAAAACAUCCCCACUGUCCGUCGUCGUCCAUGAACUAAAUCAAUCUAUCCGAACCGUCUGAUUCGUUUCCAUUUC